UAAUUCAGUCACUGGAGCCCUAAUGAUCGCAGUCAUUUCAGGAGAUGCCAUCAAUUAUAGCAGGGAGCUCAUUCAGAAGUGAAAGAUGAGUUCCAUUCUCUGUUACUUAGAGGUCAGUGAUCAUUCCCCAACCUCUUCCCAGUGAACAAAUAGUACAGUAACUUUCACAGGCUCCCUUCAUUUUUCUCAAGUCUGCUGCUUUACGACUUUUGUAGACCUUGGUUAUAAUAACUUCAUAUGUUUGACUCUGGCAGCCUUAAGACAAGCCUGACCCAAUCAUUUUCUUGCAUCCAUCAUCAUAAAUUCAAACAUAUAUAAUUCUGACUCCCAUAAGAGAUGUUUAAAAGAAUAGGUAUUAUUAAGAUGGCAUUUUAAAACUUCUAAAACAAAUACAAUUGUUAAAAUUUACAUCAAAAGGAUUUUAAAAUAGUAAUCAUUUUCAUCUGCAAACUUUCUAUUAUUUUCUAUAAAUAUAAUCAUAUUGAAAGAUGCAACACAGAUUACACAUUUGUGUAAGAAUUAGCACAGGAUUUGAUAUACUACCCUUACAUGCUCUUUCUAAAGCCAUCUUAAAUUUUUGUAAUUUUAUUUUUUAUUUAUUUUGAGAGAGAUAGAGAGCAAGUGGGGAGGGGCAGAGAGAUAGGGGGAGAGAAAGAAUCCCAAGCAGACGGCAUUCUGUCAGUGCAGAGGCUGAUACGGGGCUUGAACUCACGGACCAUGAGAUUAUGACCUGAGCCGAAACUAAGGGCCGGACGCUUAACCGACUGAGCCACCCAGGUAUCCCUAUAACUAUUUUAAUAAUUAGGAUUAAAAUUCAAUUUUCAAUAUUUUGUUUGAUAACAAAAGGUUGGAUGGCUAAUUCAUCCACCUAAAAGCUUGAACACAAAUGUUUAUAUCAAUUUUAUAUAUAAACCCUAAAAAGGAGAAGCAAUCAAGAUAUUUAUCAAUAGGUAAAUGGAAAAAACGUAAUACAUCUAUGCAAAGAAUAUUAUUCAACAAUUUUUUUAAAUGAGUAAUUAAGCCAUGAAAAGACAUGGAGAAAUCUUAAACGUAUGUUCCUAAGUGAAAGAGUCAGUGAGAAAAGGCCACACAACGUAUCAUGCCAAUUACAUGACAUUAUGGGAAAGGCAAAACUAAGAGGAUGGUAAAACAAUCAGUAGUUGUCAAGGGAUCAAGAAGAGGGAUAGCAAAUUGAAUAGAGAUAGAUGAUUGCAUAGGUGAAGCACAGGGUAUUUUUAGGGUUGUGAAAUUAUUCUAGAUGACACUGCUUUGGCGAAUAUUUCUAUUUCUAACAAAGAAAAGGUAAUCUUUUCAAUAAGUGGAGCUGAAAUGUAUUCACAUACAAAAAAAUGAAUCUAGACACAGACCUUACACCCUUCAAAAAAUUAAUUCAGAGUGGAUCACAGGCAUACAAGUAAGACACAUAACUAUAAAACUCUUAGAAGAUAACAUGGGAGAAAACCCAGAUAACCUUGGGUCUGAUGAUGACUUUUUAGAUACAACACCAAAGGCAUAAUCUAUGUGAGAAAUAAUAUAUGAGCUAGACUUCAUUAAAACUAAAAACUGAUGCUUUGCCAAAAACACUAUUAAAAGAAUGAGAAGACAACCUACAGAGUGGGAGAGAAUGUUUGCAGAAGACACAUAUGAUAAAGGACUGUUAUCCAAAAAAUACAAAGAACUCUUAGAACUCAACAAGAAAGUGAACAAUCCAGUUACAAAAGAGGCAAAGACCUUAACAGACACCUCACCUAAAGAAGAUAUAUGUAUGCCAAAUAAGAAUAUGAGUAGGUGCUCCACAUCAUAUGUCAUUGGUGAAAUGCACAUUAAAACAACAAGAUACCACUACACACUAUUAGAAUGGCCAAAAUACAGAACAAUGACAACACUAAGUGCUGGUGAAGAUGUGGAACAAUAGGAACUCCCAUUCAUUGCUUGUAGGAAUGUGAAAUGUUACAGCACUUUGGAGGGAACCCUGGAAGUUUCUUAUAAAACUAAACAUACUCUGGGGCACCUGGGAGGCUCAGUUGGUUAAGCAUUCAACUUUGGCUCAGGUCAUUAUCUCAUGGUUCAUGGGAUUCUCUCUCCCCCCUCUCUCUCUGUCCCUCCCACACUGGGAGCACAUUCUCUCUCUCAAAAUAAAUAAAUAAAUAUUAAAAAAUAUAUAGGUGAAAAAAAUUAAGAUAAAGCAUCGUAAAAUCAACCAUAGAAUGUUGAGUACAUCAUGAUAUAUUGCUAAAUCAGUUAUAUUACUAACUUGGUAAUAACUGAAGACUUUAAGAUAGUUAUGGAGAAAAAGAAUCCACAAUUUUUCAUCUGAUUUAGUAAAAUUUGUAAAUAAGGUAAUUAUUUUAUUAAUUUAAUUGUCUUGGUUUGUUUUUAACUAAUCUCUUCAUAUUCUUCUCCUAUCUCUUCCAGUGAUUUCAAAAUUAAUAUUAGCUCUAUAAAUGAAUCACAACCUAUCUCUAAAGCAUAACUGCUGUCUAUAUAAAUUUUCACAAAUUCUCAAUGAUAAGUUAAAAGAAUAAUUCUGGAAAAUCAAACACCAUACCCUCAUAACAGAAUAGCAGAUCUCUCUUAGUAGUAAACCCUCCAAAUUACAGAAAGUCUAUUUUCCUCAAAAAAAAAAAAGGAGCUCUAAUCACACUCUUAACUUAGUAGGUUACUAAUAUCAUCCUUCCUUAGUUUUAGAUACAAAUAGUAUAGAAAUGGCUUACAUUUUAGAAGAGAAAAAUAUAACCUUUGGCUAUAUGAAUUUAUUCUCCCUGAAUGUUGUUACAUUCACCAUUGGUGGUAUUUUUUCAUAACCUUUUAGAUUAAUAAUUUAUUUGAUAUCAUUAGUUAAUAAUUUACUGUAAAAUGUCCUACAUUCUAUAGAAAUAUAUAGGGAUAAUAAGAACUAUAAAAAUAGUGACUGUCUUAGGAUUGGGUUAAAAAACAAAUUUUAUUUCUGGUUUAGACAAUGAGUCCCCAGAUAUUCAGCUAUUUCCAGAGUGAUUGCUAGAAAAGAAACAAAUUGGGUUAGAACUCCAGCUAAGUACUAUAUUCAGCACUUACACAAUAUAGGCUACAUUCAUAAUAAAUGGCUUUAAUUUAAAUGUAAUUUCUAAGAAGAAUAAUCUCACUACUCUGACCAUAUAUAUGUUAGUUCCUUAGGAUAAUAAUUACUUCUAAGAAUUAAAAACCUUGAACCUGCUGGCAUAAACUUUACUGCCAGCACAAUACAAGAUGAAACAUUUAAAUUCAGCAAAGUCAGAGGUAUAUAAAAGAUAAUCACUCUCUCAAUCUCUCUCCCUUUCCCUCCAUUCCUCUCCCCNCCCAAUCCCCCCCCCUUUCCCCCCAUUCCCCCCCCCCCCCCCCCCCCCCACCAUCACCGCUAAAGUUAACCAUUGGUUAAUAUGAAGGUUGGGAAACAAAAUUAAAUAUUUUGGGACAUACAUUUAUAUUCUCAUUAACUCUUUAAAAAAUACUAAUUGUCAACUAGAACAUAGGAAAUAUGCAAGUGUCUAACUACUGCAUCUUCCCCUCAGAGAGAUAAUGGUCCAAAAAGGAAGAUGAUAAUACUUAUAAAUAAGUCCUAUAUGAGACCUAAAGUAAUCUAAGCCCCCGGAAGAGUAGUAUUCAUAAAAGGGGUGAUUCAGAAGACUAAGGGAGUUCAUCUAGCUGACAGGAUUAGAGAAGGCCACACUGAACAGAUGAUGCUUCAAUGAGUUUUCUAAGGUUUGUUAAGUUAAUUAAACUACUAAGCUAUUGGACUAGGGCAGUCCUGAUGCUGUGAUGGCCUAUGGAAGGAAACCAAAAUCUAAGACUGUAUGUUAAUGUUUGAAGGUUACAAAUUGAAACUUAAGGACAGUCAAUCAUAGUCAACUAGGCUGUAAACUACAAUCAACAGUCAACUACAGGGGUUAGGUAGAACAUCCUAACCACUUCUGGUUUGGUGCUUUUGGAUUCAAAUUAAUUUUUGCUCAAAUAACUCUUAAUUUUUUAAAUCCCUCAGUUAAUCUUUAAUAGUUUAGAUAUGAUUUACAAGACAAUUCUGGGGGCGCCUGGAUGGCUAAGUCAGUUGAGUGGCCAACUCCUGAUUUUGGCUCAGAUCAUGAUCCCAGGGUCAUGAGAUCAAGUCCCGAGUUGGGUUUCAUGCUGAGCGUGAAGGCUGCUUGGGAUUCUCUCUCUCCCUCUGCCCCUCGCCUCCACUCACACACACACUCUCUCUCUAAAGGAAAAAAAAAGGGAAAAUAAAAGAAAAUUCUGAAGAACAAGAAGGAAACUCUAGACAAUGAUUUCCUCCUGAGUAUAGAACUAUGGCAGGUACUUGGGACACAUAUGGGAAGUACUAAAUAAUUUAGAGUAUAUAGAAAAUGUAUACAAUAAUAUAUACAUAAUAUAUAAAUAAAUAAUAUAUAAAAAUAACAAUAAUUUGGAGUAUAUAGGAAAUAAUGAAUAAAGUUAGAAAAGCAACUCAUAGUCCUCUUUUCAGCAUUUAUUUAUUUAUUUGGAGAGAAAGAAAGAGCCCACGUGCAAGCAGGGCAGGGGAAGAGAGAGAGGGAGACAGAAUCUCAAGCAGGCUCCACACUGUCAGCGCAGAGCCUGACACAGGGUUCCUUCCUACAAACAGUGAGAUCAUGACUUGAGCCAAAAUCAAGAAUCCUACACUUAACCAACUGAGCUACUACCCAGGGGCUCCCGUAGUCUUAUUUAGUUACACACACUGGCUAUAUCAUCAAAACAAAACAAGUUUUAAUAGAAAAAUAUAGAGGUAUUUUCCUCAUUUCUUAUAGUUUUUGUUGUUGCUGUUUUCUUGCUUCCUUGAGUGAUUCCAUAAACUGUUAUCUCAAAUCCUUGGAAACACAGGAUUAUUACAGAGGCUAAAAAGUAUAUGGUUUACUUAAUGAGAAGAGAAAUAUAAAAAUAAAGUAUUUGAUGGCAAAAUGGCUUUACAUUAUAAACUCAUACAUACUUCCUGUUAGUCUAUAAUUCUUUAAAAAUAAAAAACAAAGUUAAGGGCAUCUGGGUGGCUCAGUUAAGUGUCCAACUCUUGAUUUUGGCUAAGGUCAUAAUCUUGUGGUGGUGAGAUUGAGCUCUGCAUUGGGCUCUUCACUGAAUGUCCCUCUCUCCCUUUCUCUCAGUCCCUUCCUUGCUCACACACACUCUCUCUCCCAAAACAAAUAAAUACACAUUUUUUAAAACAAUAAAAAAAAUAAAAAAUUAAACCCCAGAGAUAAGUAUACUUAAGGAUUAGGGUCUUAGCCUAUAUAUUUCUAAAUAAGAGAUCUAUAGGUUCUAAUGCUCCAUCAUUAUUAAAUGCCUGUAGAGAACAUUAUGCCAUUUUGGGGCAUCAUUAGAAUCCUCUGUACUUUGUCUCCUGGCCAUGCUGCUUUUAUGUAGGUAUUUAUUUAUUUAUUUGUUUCUAUAUAGAAGGUGUCUACAGGUAGUAAUAUAGAGAGGAAAGUAGGCUAUAGAACUUUCCUGAGAGUGUACUUUUAGAGCAACCUUGGAUUUUAUGUCUAUUGUAUGUUUAUUUUGGGUAGCCAGGAUAGCCAUAGGGUUCAAAAGGGAAUUAAAGCCCACUCAAGUUACCUCUUGGGGCCGCCACUAUUCAUUCAUUCAACACAUAUGUACUUAAUGCUAACUGGGAUUCAGGGACUAUGAUAGUAUUGAACAUAGAGUAACAAACGAGAGAGAUAAAGUCUAUGACCUCAAGGAGACUUGAAAUAUGUGGGGAAGAGAGAAAAUUCAACAAUAAAUUGCACUUUUAAAUGCAAAUAGAUGGUAUAGUAUGAAGGAAUGAAAAAUAUAACAUUGGUAUGUAGAUCCAGAAAUAUUUUAUGAGUCCCAGACCCAAGAGAAUUAUGUCCACUGCAUAGUACUAUCAUUAUUUUUCCAACUGAAUCAAAAUUAUGAAUCUCUAGAGUCGGAAAGUUACCUGAAGUCCAGAAGAAUUACUGGUUAGUAUGCAGGAGAGAAUUUUAUAUCAUCUUAACUUUUAAUAAUCUGAGCUUUCACCUGAAAAUUGCUUAUCAUUCCAGAGUAUGUAUCAAUGACUGGCAAUCAUAACUGGAUACAAGUAAACACUUCUUUACUAUCUUAACUAUAUACAGGAAAGUAUGUUGAAAUGAUUGCCAAUAUAAAUGAUAAUAAUAAGGUGUGUCAAAUUGUAAAAUAAUACUAUCAUAAGAGUUAAUUAUAUUUAUAAUAUAUAGUAUAAUAUAUAUAACUAUAUGUUAUAUGUAAUAAUAUAAAUUUUAUAUAAUAUAUAAAUAAAUAUAUAUUUCAAUAUCUAUAUUAUAUGCAAUAUAUCUGUGUAUACAGAGUAAUGACAAUAUAACUAUAUGUUUGCAUGGUAUUGUAAUAUGUAUAAAGCUUUUUACACAUAUUACUGCAUAAUUAAUUUUCAUAAAGUUUUAUGACAUAGGCAAGACAGGAAAGAUGAAGUGUUCAUGUGGUGAAUUAAAUGGCUUUUAUUUCUUUUCUUCUUUUUUCAUCUUUCUAUUUAUUUGUCCAAGUUUACUACGGCUAUUGAGUAGCCGUCACAGUCCUUGAAUCCCUGACCAAGAUAGUGUGUCCACUGACCCAAAAUGAUAACAUUAUUUAUUGGUUAAAUUGGUGUAAUAAGAUUAUAGACUUAAAACUAAGGGUGACAUUGAAUCAGAGUAUUCAUUGUAGGAGUUGGCUGAGGGGGCCGCUAUUGCAUAUUUGGUGUUUUAACAGGACAAUAAGUUUUACAGAUGAAGAACAGGCAGAACCAGAGAUCAAUCCCUCCAUUUAAGUUCUUACACUAAGCAAAGGCAUACACCUGUUUUCAGAUUUGAAGAGAAGGAGGAAUCCUCACUGGAAAAAGUAGCAGCUAGUUAAAGAGGCUGGAGCACCAGGGCUCUAAGAAGCAAGAGGUGGGUGUUGUAAUUCAAAUUGCAUGCUAAUUCUCAUUGAUCAGCCUAUUUAAAUGGUAAUGAGGCAUAGAUAGUGUUUCUGGCCCAAGUGCUAGAAACUCCAUGCAGAGGAUAUCUGUCAGCAAGAAAAAGAUACUGCUGCUUGCUUGAAAAGCUGUGGUUGCUUUAGGGGCUUGUGACUGUAAAAGGGAAUUACCUUCCAGUCCUUUGACCUGUGGGGAAGGAGAUCCUACCAAGAAUUUUCAGGACUGCAACAACACCCAACUGCUACCAUUCUUCUACUGUCACCUUCAGCUUUCUGGGGCUAUAUUCUCCUGUAAUGAGAAAGAAGAACAGAUAUAGCUACAAUUGCCACUUGUGGGGAGAAGACAGAUGACCAACAUCACAAAUCAUCCUUAGCUGAGUACAGAGGACGCCUGAUUGCGUGUCGUGUUCUGCAAAAAUCUUAAUUAUUUAAGAUUAUUAAUUAUUAUUAACAUUCUUGUUAAUGUCAUUCUUAGUACUCAUGUUUGGUUCUUAGGGAAGAACUAAGCCUUUUUUUUCUUUCCUUUUUUCUUUCUUUAAUGUGCAUUAUCAGGAAGUGUACCAGGCAUUUUACCUACAUUUAACACAUACGAAGCCCAGCUAAGUAAUCAUAUUAAAUAUUAAAGAAUUUUUUUGUUCCAAACCUGAGAAAAGGCCAAUAUGAUAUUAACAAUCAACUUUGAAAAAAGUAUAUCUGAGUGAUUUUCUGGAAGGUAAUUUGGGGCCAACUUCAUUGUUAGAUGUGUUGGAGAGAAACUUCCAAAAUGUUAGAGUAUAACCUAGACAGCUAUCAUGCUUAUAACCAGCCGACUACCUCAAACCAGAUGGUUAAAUCGGUAAGAUACUUUAACCAGUCUAAUUACUACCCUAAUAAUCUUUAGCAAAGUCUUCCCUUCUUAUACGUGUGUUAACAAUGUAAUCUAGUUACUUUUUCUCCCUAUAAAAUACUCUAUCAAAUGUAAAUAUUUGAAUGGCAUUCCCAGAAGCAUAUUUCCCAAGGAAAUUUAUAAAACUUUGGAUGCAUACUCAAAUAUAUUCUGCCUAAGAAGUUGCUUUAACAUUUUCAAAGAAAUAAUAGAAAGUAAAACCCACAUAAUGUCUCUCUGUGGUUAGUUUUGCACACACACACACACAAAUUUUUUUUUAAAGGUAUUUUCACUAAGCACAACACAAUCCCCUAAUAGUGUCUUUUGGCUAUUGACGUCAAUCUUUAUAAUUUCUGUUUCAUCAUAACUACGCCGAAGUCUCCUCAAUUCCAAUAUAGAAAGAAAUACCCUCUCCCUGGAAUGUAGCUGAUGAGGCUUUCUAUUAUCUCACCUGUCAGCUACCUGGCUCUGCUUUUUUAAUGUGCAUCAAUUUAUCCCCUCUUGCUUCUUCCAAUUUUCCUGUUUGACAAUAACCUGGAAUCUUCACAAUAAUGGAGCAUCCAGGAGCUGAUUAACAAGUAGGAACUCUUUCUCCUUGAAUACUCAUAUGAUAAAUAGUGUUAGUUCUCUAACAUUUGUCUGCUUUGAUCUUUUUAGUCCUUUGCCAAGAGGAACAUAAAGUGUAAUUUUCAAAAAAAUAACAUUGUAAUUGUCAUGUGAAUACAACAUGAACAUGUGUAUAAGGGUUUAUUCAACUCAUUAAUAAGAAACCAAGAUAGCAAUUAAAAAAGUUCAAAGAACUUUUAAGAAACUGGUUAUUUAUGGAUGAUUUAAUAAAGGAAUGCUAGUAUAUAAUUGUUGGGUUAUAUACAAAACUGCUUAAUAUCCUACAUUUGGGGUUGUCUUUUCUGCCAAAAUAAACUAUUUGUAUCUUUCGCAGACAAAAUUCUACAUGUUAAACUCUACUUCUACACAGUUGAAAAGUAGCCUAGUCGAUAUAAAAUAAAUCAAAGGUUUAACUCAGAGCCAUGCUGAAAGAACACCGAGUAAUAUCUUCUACCUAUUUCCAAGCUUCAGACAGUAUUUCUAACACAGUCCUUCCUAUUCACAGAUACAUCCUUUCUUUUUUUUUUUUAAUGUUUAUUUAUUUUUGAACCAGAGACAGCACGUGUGGGGAAAGGACAAAGAAAAUGAGACAGACAGAAGAUUCAAAGCAGGCUCUGAGCUGACAGCAAUUGAGCCCCAAUGUGGGGCUCAAACCCACAAACCACAAGAUCAUGACCUGAGCCAAAGUCUGAUGCUUAACUGACUGACCCACCCAGGCACCCCCAGACAUCUCCUAUUCUCAUUCAUCUACUGAGUUAGAGGUUUCCUUUCUGAACCAUGGUGGUGCUAUGAUGGUUUGAUUAGCUAUUUCUAUCAGUUUCUCCUAGGAAACCAGAAUUGUGGGAAUUGAGAAUUGUCAAGAUGACUGGUAUGGCGGCAUUAUUUUAAUCUCAUCCAGUCCCAGGUUCUCUGUCCUUUGUAAUCUCAGAAAAAAAUCAGCUUUUUUUUCUGACAGUCUGACACUUAAUAUUUUGGUUUAUAUGAACUGAAAUUAUUAUAGGACCACCUUUUUCCUCCUCUUGAUCUGAGAAACACAGGUACUGUAUAUAUGAUUAAUAUCAAAAAUCUCAUUUGUGAGACACUAUGUCAUACUAAAAGCAAAUGAAGAGUUAAAACUCCAAAAAUACAAAUAGUUAUAUUAAAUUAAUUGUAUUUUGGAGGAUGGGUGAUGGGAGGUGAUGGAAGAAAGCAAAUCUGUGACUGGGGGAGGGAAAUCUACUAAUCCUCUCUCACUAGUAUCCUGCUCAUUGCAAUCCUAUUUUAAGAGACUUAAGAAUACCCGUUUCACUUUUUUUACCCCCAAUAUACCCUGACAUCUUUGCUGAGCUGAAUUAUUUACUGUCACUUACUAAUUGCAAUCAUGAGGUUUCAUUCCCCCCCCCAACUUUGAUUAGCUACAAAAAAGAAUUAGAAUUCAAGGGUACUCAUGGUUCCUGAUAGAUUAUAAUAAUGUUAGCUAAGUUGUUGCAAUAGAUCCCUCCAGAGACAAGGUCCAGCCAUUUCUGACUCUCAGAGCUGAGUUAUUUUGUUUCAUAUUAGAUGGCAUAAGUGUAUAUUCAUUUGCAAUCAUAUGCACUCACUGAAUCCUUAUAACAACUUUUUAAAGUGUUUUCUAUUAUUAUCUACUUUCUAAAGAGAUGGAAACUGAAGGUCAAGGAAGUUAAGUAGAUUGUCCAAUACCACUAUCUAUGGGAGAAUUAAGAUUCAAAUUGGGUUUGUCUGCAUAGAAUAGACAGAGAAGAAAGUUUGUGUUCUGUUAAUAUUCCAUUGCCUUAUAUCUUGAAUGGUUUUAAAUAUUUUAAAUAUUAUAUAAAAUUGAUUAUAAAGUAAGGUAACAAUUCCUGCUUAAUAUAGGUGAGAUCUAUAAAAUGAACAAAAUCAUAGGUACAAAUUUUAUUUCCUAAGCUACUAAAUAUAAUGAUAAUGCAUCUGCCAAUUUUAAAACUAUGGCAAAACAAAAUGCAUAUAAUAAAUCUAUAAAUACUCAAGAUGACCUGGUUUUAUAUAUUUUUCCUGAAAGGUAACUUCCAAUUUUAAUUUUUCAUGUCUGUCAGUAAUGUGAUAACAUUUUAUAUUAUAAUACAAAUGUCUUUUAUUUAAAAAGAGCCUAAAUUUUUAUUUUUCCAUUCUAGGAACAAAUCUUUGAGUAUUUAGUGCAUAGCUUGUUAACUGUUUCCUAAUAUCAAAGAUACUUUGUUCUUGUUGAUACAAUUGGUUUGGUUUUGACUUACUGUUUCCAAUUCAGAAAAAUGCUUUCAAAUUUAUGAUAAAUAUUAAUGAUAUGAUAUUCAUCUAAACAUUAUUACCUACUGGCAAAAAUACAGGCCUACAGGGUCCAGGUAAUUUACAACUGUAGAAUAGUGAGAUAUUCUUAGCACAUAUCUACUUUGACGAAAAUAAGGUACUGGAUUAGAUGAUCUUGCCACUUGCUUCUAGUUCUAAGAUAUAAUGCUAACCAUUUAUAACUAUUCACAUAUUGAGUGUAAUCCACAGAAAGUGACAUUUACCACUUUUGGCCUGUAGUACAUGGUUGCCAGUAUUUGAAUACCCUAUCACAAUGAGAAUUUUUUUUUUAUAGUCUUAACCUCAACUCUACAUACAUUAUGCUAUAUGAUUAUAAUUGUAUAACAUCAUUAUAUGAAAACAUAUUUUUGUUGCUUAUGUAAAUAGACAUUCAAUUGAAUAUAUACUAUAUUAAGAGCUAUCAACAGUUUGUACUGUAAUGGAAAAAAAAUAGGGAUAUUAAAAGAAGGCAUAGGAGAAUAUUCUCAUUCCAAACCUUGGAGAAGGAUAUAGAAAAUUUGGUGUGUGCAGACAUGCAUGCCAACAUGUAUGCAUGAUACCUCUUUGUUAUAUAUGCCACUGAUAUCAUACUUAUUUUAUAUUGUGUAUUUUAUUUAUCUGGUGUAUUUAUUUAUACUUAUUUUAUAUGGUUUAUAUUCCAUAAUUUGGCUGUUGUUGAUAUUGCUGCUGUAAACACUGGGGUGCAUGUUCCCCUUCAGAUCAACAUUUUUGUAUCCUUUGGAUAAAUUCCUAGUGAUGCAACUGCUGGGUCGUAGGGUAGUUCUAUUUUUAAUUUUUUGAGGAACCUCCACACUGUUUUCCAGAGUGGCUGUACCAGUUUGCAAAGAACAAAAAGUUAAGCCACUUGAGUAUUUCACCAGAUUUUUUCUUGACCCUAAUUAAAAAUGCAAACUUGAAAUUAUUCAAUGCUAGUUCAUUUUACAACUGUAGAGAUUAAUACCCUCGUGUGUUACCGCGUGUGUGUGUGUGUCUGUGUGUAUGUGUUUGUUUUUUAGUGUAGUUGUUUUCUGCUGUGUUUCAGAAUGGAGUUAACCAAGAAUAGUUUUGUAUUAGUAAACAACCAUGUUAUUGGUGGACUGUGAAUUCCUUGCCUCUUUUUCUUUUCUUUUUUUUUUUAAGUAUUUAUAUAUUUAUUUAUUUUGAGAGAGAUAGCGCAAGUAGGGGAGGGGCAGAGAAAGAGGGAGAUGAAAAGGGGGAAAGAGAGAAUCCCAAGCAGGCUUCACAUCACCAGCACAGAGCCCAGUGUGGGGGCUCCAACCCAUGAAGCCAUGAGAUCAUGACCUGAGCUGAAACCAAGAGUUGGAAACUUAACCAAAUGAACCACCCAGAUGCCCUCCUUGCCUUUUUCUUAUUGGUAUCCAACAAAUUUAUUUUCUGUUAACAAGCUUAGGAUACUCUCUGGGAGUGGGGGAGAGGGGAGGAUCUGAACAACCCAAAGCAAAGGGCAAUUUCACUUCAAAGUGUUUAGAAAAUGAUAGAAUGUGAGAUCCCAAUCAGAACUUCUGCACACUUCUGCUGCUUUGGGAAUCACUGGUGAUAUUCAUUCAACUUUUUUGUAAUUUAUAUGCUGUAAUAUUGUCAAACUUACUUUUCUCCAAGAAACUAAAAGUCCUACUUCUUGUGCCAUGUACAUUAAUUCUUACUGUUCCCCUUAAGAUGAAGAUCAAGUAAACUUACGGUGUUAUAGAAAACAAUUCUUUUCAUCUAUAAUAUUAGUUAUCGGUUCAUAUAACAUACAAGUGACUCUCAAAACAGAUAGUAAAAACCACUAUCUACAAUGACAAAACAGUACUGUGUAUUUUAAUAGUUUAUUUUGAAAGAAAUUUCUAAUAUAAAAGUUAUAUGAUGAUAUAUAUGUCUCCCUCAAAAAUAAAUAAAAAAACUGAAAUAGUUGAAGAAAGUUCCACUUUAUUUUUAUUUUUCACUACAUAACACAGAUGUUACACAGAUUCUGGUUUAAGUGAAACAGUGUUUUUAUUAGGAAUAGAUAAUUUCCCAGAUAUAAGAGUGUCCCCCCAAAUGCAAUCAUAUGAGUUUUAAACUAUGAUUAUAAAUCCUCUGAUGCUCUUCCUAUAGAAUAUGCCCUUGUUCUGAAUCUGGGUGAGCUUGUGACUGUAUCAACCAAGAGAUUAUAAUGGAAGAAUACCAUGAGAAUUUCAAUACUGCACUUCAAAAGGCCUUGCAAUUUCUCAUGUGUUUGUUAAUAUACUUGCCCUUGGUAUCCAGAUCCACCAUCUAAGAAGUCUGAAUUUUUAACACCACCAUGCUAAAGUCUACUGCAGGCAGUUAAGUCAAUAGCACGAGCUGAGACAAGCCCUCCAGCUACAUCCCUGCAAACACACCAGACAUGUGACUGAGGCCAUCUUGUACCCUCCAGACUAGCCUGCCUGCCAGCUGAGUACCACCAAGUGACUCCUUUUGACACCACAUAGAACAGAAGACUCACUCAUCAAGUCCAGCCAGAAUUCCUGUCCCACAAAUAAGGGAGCUAUAUUAGGAAGAUCAUUGUUUUAACUCAUUAUCUUCUGGAGUAAUCUGUUACAUAUCAAUAAAUAAUUGGGACACAUGUCAAACAUGAUUUCAGAUGAUUGCCUAUUCUGUCUCCUCAGAGUCAAAAAUCCAGAAUAUACAUUCUCUAUGAAAUGAUCACAUGAAAAUCCAAAAAUAUUAAUAAUUAAUUAACAACUAACCAUAAAAACCACAAUAAUAUGUACUGCUAUUUAUUGAGUGAUUUUGCCAAGCACGGGGCUACACAUUAUAAAUGAAUAAUUGAUGUGGGAGCCAAAUUACCUAGGUUACAUGUAUUGCACACAUUAACAAAAUCUAGGUAUGAUAUUAAAUACAGAAAGUCAAGGGCUGAUAGAAAGUAGGGUAUUUGUAAGAGUACUCAAGAGUGCAAGACUGAAGUCCUGAUUUGUUUAGGGAUUUCAGCAAUGAGUAAUGAUGAUAUCCAGUUUAUGUAAUACAAUCAUGUUAUCAACUAUGAAGGCCCACUGUGAAAUAUUCUUUAAGAUUAAAUAACCACACAACUGAUACUGUGGAAAGCUGUGUUUGACUAUAAAAUAUGAUUACUCUAUAGAAAAAUGUUUUUUCAGCAUUGCAAGGAGAAAUAUAGAGGCAUAAAAAUCUUUUAGGAAUCAGUAUGUAAUGCAUUUUUUUGAAGAAAUAUGUAAAUAGGUUCCUACAAAACGUUUUCUGUGCACUUUGGAGUUGAUAUGUGAAAACUAAUAUCAUUUGGAUUAAAAAUAUUUCACUAACUCACUUAAAGCUAAGGUGGAAUAUUUUGCAAUAAAGAAAAUUACUUAAGCUUUGAUCACUUAUGUAGUGUUUAAAUUCCUUAUACGUGGGUGAAAUAUUAUACCACCUGCACCAUUAUUAAAUACUGUUCUUUUUUUUUAUUUCAAAAGUUCACUACUGUACUAGGCAUCAGAAAUUUAAACAUAAAUGCAACCUUCAAGGAUCUCAUACACUAGUUAGAAAGAUGGGGAUUUAAAAAAAAUUUUUUUUAAUGUUUAUUUUUGACAGAGAGAGAGACAGAGACACAGCACGAGUGGGAGAGGGGCAGAGAGAGGGAGACACAGAAUCCGAAGCAGGCUCCGGGCUCCAGGCUCUGAGCUGUCAGCACAGAGCCUGAUGCAGGGCUCGAACCCACAAGCUGUGAGAUCAUGACCUGAGUCGAAGUCAGACGCUCAACCAACUGAGCCACCCAGGCACCCCGAAAGAUGGGGAUUUUAAAACAAGUUAUACAGUGUAAUAAAAUAGUAGGCACAUUAAAACAAUACACAGGUUGCACAGAGUAGAUGACUGAAUUUGCUGGGGUGGGCAAAAAAAGGUGAUUAUGGAUAAUCUACUUAUUAGUUUUCCAUUGCUUCUGUAACAAAUUAUCACAAACUUAGUGAUUUAAAAUAAUACAAAUUUAUAGAUCAAAAGUCUGGUUGGCCUGGCUGGUUUCUCUGUUCCUGGUUUAAUAAGACUGAAAUCAAGACAACAGAUGACUGGACUCCCAUCAGGAGUCUCUUGGAAGAAUUUGCUUCCAUGCUCACUUCAGAAUGUUAGCAGAAUCCAGUUCAUCGAAGUUGCACAACUGAAGCCCUUGCUUCUCCUAGAGGCCUCUGUCUGAUUCUUGCACAUAACUUUUUCUGCUUUAAAAGGGUCAUAUGAUUAGAUUAGUCCCAUCCAGAUAAUCCAGGAUCACCUCUCCAUUUUAUAGUUCAUAACAUCAAUUAUAUCUGCAAAUUCCUUUGCCAUGUAACACAACAUGGUCACUAGAUUCAGGGAUUAAAGUAUGAACAUCUUUGAGAGACCAUUCUGCUUGGCACAGUUCAUAAACGUAGUUGGUUUUGUUUUUUCUUUUUAGAAAGAAAGAUCAAGUUAAAUCUAGAAGUAGAAAAUGAGGAUAUCUACGUUGAGAGUGAACUAUCUAGUAAAAAGGCCUAAAACAUAAUUCAUGAUAAUAAUAUGAGAAACUAAUCUAAAAAAGAACUGUGUUCAGGCAGGAAGACAAAUGUUAUACACUUUAUUAUGUGAAAAGAAAUGAAAAUAGCACGAAUACAUAUAGAUCAUGUUAUCUUGAGCCUAACAUAGCUUCGGCUUGGUGGCACGGCCUCAUAUACAUGUUCCUUUCAUAACCUACUAAUGAAAGAGACAAACAAUAACAAAUACAAAACAGCAUCAACAAAAAAGACUCUCCCUAAUUCUCCAAUUAUUGUCCAAUGUUUGCACCAUGCCAAAUAUAGCAUACAUAUAUAAUGCUGGAAGAACAGCAAUUCCUGGGGGAAAGGCCUCUGAAGUCAGUAACUCAUUGAGAUGUGAGAUGUUAAUGUUAAAGUGGCAUUAUACAUAGAAGUUGCUGGGUCCUAGGGAACUUUGGUGAAAUAUGCAUCCAGCAAGGCAGCCAUAACCAGAGCCGUUAUGUCUGUUAUGUCUGUAGCUCUAUAGUCUGUAGCAGUCUAUAGUCAUUCUCUAAAUCUGAGUUUCUGCAGAUGCAGACUAGUGAAUUAAAUGGACACUAAAAAAAAAGAAAAAAAGGAUGACCUCUACAACCUUUAGAUUUUUAAUGGUAGUAAGAAUCUCUCACAUACCUCUGAGAUAGAGAUUUCAUUUAUUGUUUACUAAGUUACCUGGAAGAAGGAUGGGAUUUUAAGAAGUUGCAACUUGGCUUUCCCCAAGUUUCCUAGUUCUUGAUCCACAAACCAAGAACCCAAUAUGAGUAUUACUCUAACUGCCAAAUGAAGUCUAACUUUACAUUUAGAGACUGAGGAAACAAUCAUUGGUUAGAUCCAUGGACAGAGUGGUCCCACCAUGAGUUAGUUAGACAUUAACCACUACAUUUAAUCAUCACUCCCUUUAUUUCCUGUCAUGCGUAAGCUUCUACUCUCACAGAGGGGCCUGGGUAAUGCUUUGGGUCUUCAGUUAUCAAUAUCACCUCACACUCAAACUCUGUGUUCAAUGGUCUUCAAAUGUGUAUUAAUUCCCCUUUCUUAAAUGUACAGUGAUAUGAGGGGGAAUCUCACAGCCUAUAAUGUUCUGUCAUGUUGCAUGGUCCUUCCUCCUAGGGAACUGACCACCUCUUUAGUCAGUGCCUUCCAUACCUAAAAAUUAGCACAGGUCUGGACACUGAACUUUUAUUGAGGUGACUCUCCAAACCCCUGUGUCUCCAUUCUUAUUUUUUAGGGGAAAAAGUUACAGAUGUCAACAAGCACACUUAUUAACCCUAAGGCUUUCAAAUAUUUAAAUUUCAGAGUCAUGUUCAUAGAACAUAUAGAUGACUGACCAUCAGAAUGACUUCAGAUAGAUUCUUAUAGGAUAUAGGAGUUUUUGAGUGAAAAAAAAUAGGGGAGUGUAUCACUUAGCGCCACAAGUUUAGCUGUCACAUCAAUGCUCCUGGGAUUUGGCUCACUGUGGGUAUGUCAUAAUGAGGUAUAAUUUAGGUUUCUCAAUAUCAAAAUAAGAUUUUCAAACCUUCCUGAUACUGAUACAUUUAUAGAGUACUUUUUUCCACCUUACAAAGAUAACUGUUAUACAGUAUUUCACAAUGUACCCUUUUAGCAAUACUCAGUGGAUUUGCUAAGAUGGCAUGUGCUAUUUAUGACAAAGUCAUAAGUCUUUUAUACCAGCAUUAUCACUUCAAAGUAAAUAUAAACUCCUCUUGCUCAUGACUGUUAGAAAAAGACUGACUAUAAAAUAUCACGACAGACAUUAUGUCAUUUAAUUUCCAACAGUUUACCACCAAGGUAGAUGUAAAUAUUAUGUAUCAAAUAUUCUAAUUUCUUUUUCCAUGGUACUCCUCACUGUGGAAAGGUUAUAUAUCCCCACCCUACUGAAAUCAAUCUUGGCUAUCAGACUUGGUGUGUGUCAGUUCCAAGCAGAAUAUUUUUCAAUGCCAGAUGUUGGUUUGAAAUAUCUCUGUCCUAUGAAACACUAAUUGGCAAUGUUCCAGAAGGCAACUUCUUCAUUAGACUGAGUCCCAGAGUACAAAUGUUGUGAAACAGGUUCUCAAUUAGCAUAGGGCAUGAAGAAGAAAUAUCUAGAGAGAGGAUUUAGCUCAUAUUCAAAUUCAAAUUUCCUUUAAAAAAUUACAUAUUUUCAGCAUGGGUAUAAUCACCAAACAAAUUCUCCUACUUUUUUUUUUUUUUUUUUUGGUAAAAAAUGACCAAAAAGUAUUGCUUAAGAUUCCAUUUUGAUAGAACUGGACCAAUGCAAUGAAAGUAUAUCUUGACUAUAACGGAUUUUACCUCAAAAUAAUGGGAAGUGCUUCUAAAUCCAACUCACACUUCAGACUCUAAAAUAAUAGCUCUGUUGCAGUUAUUUGCAACACAUGGGUAGCUGACAAGUAUUGGUUUUGACAAAGGAUUUACAUUUACUCCAGCAGUGUUUAAAGAAUCUGAGAGCACAAACCCUAUCAGAACUGUCAUAGUUUUACCUUAUCACCUUCCAGAAAAAAUGCUAGUCCAAAAGGAUGGUAUUGACUACUAAGGAUACCCUGAAUGUGAUGGUUUGAGAAAAUUGCUAACAAGGUUUCUUGUUGCUGAACAUGUUAUCUCAUAUUCAAAACCACAAGUGGAUUGUACUAAUUAAUAGGUUGCUGUCUCAAAAAGUGUCAGAAUGACCUUCGCCAGACUUUAGGAGAAAAGAGUAUUUAUUUGUUUAUUGAUUUUUCUGUAUCAACAUUGUUGGUUUGUAUUUCUUUGGUCUUGAGAUGAAAUCCUAGAGUGAACCUCGAAAUCCUAGGUUCACAAACAGUAAAUUAAUAAUCAUGGUCCAUACUAUAAACAAGUUGGAGCUGCCUUCCCAUGCUGCUCAUCCCAAAAGUUCUAGCAGAGAAAUAAAAUACUCAGAUAUAUAGUAGUGCAUCAAAUUGCAUAAGCAAUAUUUCUCCAUAGGGAAAGAAAUUUGCAGAAUCACUCUUAUUGUGAGAGCCUAGAAUAUUUGUUGGCAAAAUAAAUGCUUAACAAGUGGUUUUCAAAAUAAAGAAAAUGAAUUAGUAUUUUGGAGGAAUAAUUUUACUUCUUUCUCAAGAUGGGCAUCCUUUCCCACUGCAUGCAGACUAUUAAGUAAUGAGAACGCCACUUCCUCAACAAGAAAGACCUACAGACCAAACUAACAAUCAUUGGAAGCAGUGAUAUGAAAACAGAUUGUUUCUGGUUAAGAUGAAUUAUAGGUCCGAGUCUCGCUAGAGGUCGACUGUAGGUUAGAGGUACAGAUGGUAUAUUAGGGUGUUGGCUAAGGUUGCUAUAUAAAAGAACCUAAAUACAAUGGCCUAAAUAAAAUACAAGUCUAUUUGCCUCUCAAAAAAAGAAAAUAGAUUGCUUCAUAUUUCAAUUGUAAAGAUAUUAGCCCUGUAUAAUUUUCCCCUCAACAGAAAGUCCAUUAGCAGUUACUCCUUUAAUACCAUCUACUGAUUAUUCAUAUUACCUUCUGGAUGCUCUUCAGUACCAUAAAUUGAAGAAUGCGGUAACAUUUCCCUGGCCACAGUAAUUGUCAGGGUAUAAUCAGCUGCAUUUUCUCACCUAAAUAUUUGACACAGAGACAAAGUCACCCAAGUGAAUUCACUUAUUAAUUAAAAUAUCCUGAAAGUGUA
rnacentral:lncRNA from 1 species